rnacentral:SRP_RNA from 1 species
GCUGGGCGCGGUGGCACGUGCCUAUAGUCCCAGCUACUCAGGAGGCUGAGGUGGGAGGAUCGCUUGACCCUAGGAGUUCUGGGCUGUAGUGCGCUAUGCCCAUCAGGUGUGCGCACUAAGUUCGGCAUCAAUAUAGUGACCUCCCGGGAGCAGGGGACCACCAGGUUGCCUAAGGAGGAGUGAACCGGCCCAGGUUGGAAAUGGAGCAGGUCAAAACUCUCGUGCUGAUCAGUAGUGGGAUCGUGCCUGUGAAUAGCCACUGCACUCCAGCCUGGGCAACAGAGUGAGACCCCGUCUCU